rnacentral:pre_miRNA from 1 species
GGAUAAUACUGUUUUGCUAUUUCCGGUCAACAACACAAUGAUAUGUGGAAUAACGUUUUCACGUAUCAUUGUGUUAUUGGCCAAAAAUAACAAAAAGUGUUAUUC